GGUUGUGGCCUUGAGCCGUGGCUUUCGGAGCUAACGCGUUAAGUAGACCGCCUGGGGAGUACGGUCGCAAGAUUAAAACUCAAAUGAAUUGACGGGGGCCCGCACAAGCGGUGGAGCAUGUGGUUUAAUUCGAUGCAACGCGAAGAACCUUACCUACUCUUGACAUCCAGAGAACUUUCCAGAGAUGGAUUGGUGCCUUCGGGAACUCUGAGACAGGUGCUGCAUGGCUGUCGUCAGCUCGUGUUGUGAAAUGUUGGGUUAAGUCCCGCAACGAGCGCAACCCUUAUCCUUGUUUGCCAGCGAGUAAUGUCGGGAACUCCAGGGAGACUGCCGGUGAUAAACCGGAGGAAGGUGGGGACGACGUCAAGUCAUCAUGGCCCUUACGAGUAGGGCUACACACGUGCUACAAUGGCGCAUACAGAGGGCGGCCAACUUGCGAAAGUGAGCGAAUCCCAAAAAGUGCGUCGUAGUCCGGAUUGGAGUCUGCAACUCGACUCCAUGAAGUCGGAAUCGCUAGUAAUCGUGGAUCAGAAUGCCACGGUGAAUACGUUCCCGGGCCUUGUACACACCGCCCGUCACACCAUGGGAGUGGGCUGCAAAAGAAGUAGGUAGUUUAACCUUCGGGGGGACGCUUACCACUUUGUGGUUCAUGACUGGGGUGAAGUCGCA
rnacentral:rRNA from 2 species